rnacentral:rRNA from 1 species
UACGUAGGGGGCAAGCGUUAUCCGGAUUUACUGGGUGUAAAGGGGGCGCAGACGGCACGGCAAGCCGGCGGUCAAAUCGCGGGGCUCAACCCCGCCCAGCCGUCGGAACUGCCGGGCUAGAGCGGGCGAGAAGUGCGCGGAAUGCGUGGUGUAGCGGUGAAAUGCAUAGAUAUCACGCAGAACUCCGAUUGCGAAGGCAGCGCACCGGCGCCCUACUGACGCUCAGGCACGAAAGCGUGGGUAUCGAACAGG